rnacentral:misc_RNA from 1 species
AACAAGGCGUACCUGCGGACCUGCGGAGGGAUCAUUACACAAUACAAUAUGAAGGCUGUCCGCAGCUGGAGUAUUUUAUUACCCUUGUCUUUUGCGCACUUGUUGUUUCCUGGGCGGGUUCGCUCGCCACCAGGACCACCAAAUAAACCUUUUUUAUGCAGUUGCAAUCAGCGUCAGUACAAACAAUGUAAAUCAUUUACAACUUUUAGCAACGGAUCU